rnacentral:piRNA from 1 species
GCAGUUUUAUGGUUGCUGUCAGGCUUU